rnacentral:snRNA from 1 species
ACGAGGACUUCCCGGGAGGUCU